UACGUAGGGUCCGAGCGUUGUCCGGAAUUAUUGGGCGUAAAGGGCUCGUAGGCGGUUCGUCACGUCGGGAGUGAAAACUCGGGGCUUAACCCCGAGCCUGCUUCCGAUACGGGCAGACUAGAGUGUGGUAGGGGAGACUGGAAUUCCUGGUGUAGCGGUGAAAUGCGCAGAUAUCAGGAGGAACACCGACGGCGCAGGCAGCGUCCUGGCCGCUUGCUGACACUGAGGCACGAAAGCUGGGGGGAGCAAACAGG
rnacentral:rRNA from 1 species